rnacentral:tRNA from 1 species
UUUUAUAUAGUUUAAUUAAAAACAUUAUAUUUUCAAUAUAAAAAAAGUAAACUUUACUUAUAAAAAC